CAACCAUCAAGCUUAAGCUUGGUAUUGGAUGCCACUUGUUUGGUGCAUCUCAAAAUUAGUGGCGGUGCUAUUUAGCUUCAAGUGUAGUAAAUUUCUCACUUCUGGAGUGUGUUGUACCUGCUAGAACCCCCUAAUUUAUCAAG
rnacentral:misc_RNA from 1 species